AUUUUUAUAAAGUUUAAUUUUAACUUAUUAGUUAAUUAUUAUUGUUUAUUAUAUGUAAAUUAUGUUUAAUAGGAAUUUACAGUAAUUAGAUUUAAUUAUUAAAGAAAUUUAGAAUUAGAAAUAUAUUUAGUAUUAACAAAAUUUGUGCCAGCAGUUGCGGUUAUACAAAUAAUGCAAUUUAAUUUUAUUAAUAUUAAUUAAUUUAUUUAUUUAAUUUAAUUAAGAAAUUUAUUAAGUGAAAUUUUAAAUUUUUAAAAAAUUAUAAUUUAUAAAUGAAGUUAAAAAAGUUUGAUUUUAAACUAGGAUUAGAUACCCUAUUAUUAAAAAGUAAAUUAUUUAUUAAAUUAGUAUUAGUUAUGUUCUUUAAAGUUAAAAAUUUUGGCGGUAUUUUAGUCUAUUCAGAGGAACCUGUUUUAUAAAUGAUAUUCCACGAUUUAAUUUACUUUUUUUAUUAACUUAUAUAUCGUCGUAAUUAAAUAUUUUUUUAGAAUUUUAAUAUUUAAGAUUUUUAAUUAAAAAAUUAAUCAGAUCAAGGUGUAGUUUAUAAAAAAGAAAUAAUGGGUUACAUUUAAUUUAUUAUUAGAUUAUUUAUAUUAUUAUAAAUAUGAGUAUUGGAUUUGAAAGUAAAUUUAAUUAAUUAAUUAUUUUGAUUAAGCUCUAAAAUAUGUACAUAUUGCCCGUCGCUUUCUUAUAAUAUGAAAUAAGUCGUAACAAAGUAAAUUUACUGGAAAGUGAAUUUAGAAU
rnacentral:ncRNA from 1 species